rnacentral:rRNA from 1 species
GAUGAACGCUGGCGGCGUGCCUAAUACAUGCAAGUCGAGCGAACAGACGAGGAGCUUGCUCCUCUGACGUUAGCGGCGGACGGGUGAGUAACACGUGGAUAACCUACCUAUAAGACUGGGAUAACUUCGGGAAACCGGAGCUAAUACCGGAUAAUAUAUUGAACCGCAUGGUUCAAUAGUGAAAGACGGUUUUGCUGUCACUUAUAGAUGGAUCCGCGCCGCAUUAGCUAGUUGGUAAGGUAACGGCUUACCAAGGCAACGAUGCGUAGCCGACCUGAGAGGGUGAUCGGCCACACUGGAACUGAGACACGGUCCAGACUCCUACGGGAGGCAGCAGUAGGGAAUCUUCCGCAAUGGGCGAAAGCCUGACGGAGCAACGCCGCGUGAGUGAUGGAGGUCUUCGGAUCGUAAAACUCUGUUAUUAGGGAAGAACAAAUGUGUAAGUAGCUAUGCACGUCUUGACGGUACCUAAUCAGAAAGCCACGGCUAACUACGUG